UUUGACCUCAAAUCAGGCAGGAGUACCCGCUGAACUUAAGCAUAUCAAUAAGCGGAGGAAAAGAAACCAACAGGGAUUGCCUUAGUAACUGCGAGUGAAGCGGCAAGAGCUCAAAUUUGAAAUCUGGCACCUUCGGUGUCCGAGUUGUAAUUUGUAGAAGCAUCUUUUGGAUUGGUCCUUGCAUAUGUUCCUUGGAACAGGACGUCAUAGAGGGUGAGAAUCCCGUUCAUGGUGGGGAAUCCAAUUCUUUGUAAAGUGCUUUCUAAGAGUCGAGUUGUUUGGGAAUGCAGCUCUAAGUGGGUGGUAAAUUCCAUCUAAAGCUAAAUAUUGGCGAGAGACCGAUAGCGAACAAGUACAGUGAUGGAAAGAUGAAAAGAACUCCGAAAGGAGAGUGAAAAAGGACGUGAAAUUGUUGAAAGGGAAGUGCUUGAGAUCAGUCUUAAGGUUUAGUGAUCAGUCUUCCUUUUGGUUGGUGCACUCACUAUUUCUUAGGCCAACAUCAGUUUGGGCGGCAGGAUAAUGACAUUGGAAUGUGGCUCUUUCGGGAGUGUUAUAGCCUUUGUUGAUACUGCCUGCUUGGACUGAGGACUGCGCUUCGGCUAGGAUGUUGGCAUAAUGAUCUUAAGCAGCCCGUCUUGAAACACGGACCAAGGAGUCUAACAACUAUGCGAGUGUUUGGGUGUUAAACCCGUACGCAUAAUGAAAGUGAACGUAGGUGGGAACCUUUUGGUGCACCAUCGACCGAUCCUGAUGUAUUCGGAUGGAUUUGAGUAAUAGCAUAGCUGUUGGGACCCGAAAGAUGGUGAACUAUGCCUGAAUAGGGUGAAGCCAGAGGAAACUCUGGUGGAGGCUCGUAGCGAUUCUGACGUGCAAAUCGAUCGUCAAAUUUGGGUAUAGGGGCGAAAGACUAAUCGAACCAUCUAGUAGCUG
rnacentral:rRNA from 1 species